rnacentral:rRNA from 1 species
CAGCAGCCACGGUAAUACGUAGGGUGCAAGCGUUAAUCGGAAUUACUGGGCGUAAAGCGUGCGCAGGCGGUUUUGUAAGACAGAGGUGAAAUCCCCGGGCUCAACCUGGGAACUGCCUUUGUGACUGCAAGGCUAGAGUACGGCAGAGGGGGAUGGAAUUCCGCGUGUAGCAGUGAAAUGCGUAGAUAUGCGGAGGAACACCGAUGGCGAAGGCAAUCCCCUGGGCCUGUACUGACGCUCAUGCACGAAAGCGUGGGGAGCAAACAGGAUUAGAUACCCCAGUAGUCCCUGUCUCUUAUAC